GACGAACGCUGGCGGCGUGCCUAAUACAUGCAAGUAGAACGCACAGUUUAUACCGUAGCUUGCUACACCAUAAACUGUGAGUUGCGAACGGGUGAGUAACGCGUAGGUAACCUGCCUGGUAGCGGGGGAUAACUAUUGGAAACGAUAGCUAAUACCGCAUAAUAUUGAUUAUUGCAUGAUAAUUGAUUGAAAGAUGCUAUUGCAUCACUACCAGAUGGACCUGCGUUGUAUUAGCUAGUAGGUGAGGUAACGGCUCACCUAGGCGACGAUACAUAGCCGACCUGAGAGGGUGAUCGGCCACACUGGGACUGAGACACGGCCCAGACUCCUACGGGAGGCAGCAGUAGGGAAUCUUCGGCAAUGGACGAAAGUCUGACUGAGCAACGCCGCGUGAGUGAAGAAGGUUUUCGGAUCGUAAAGCUCUGUUGUAAGAGAAGAACGGGUGUGAGAGUGGAAAGUUCACACUGUGACGGUAUCUUACCAGAAAGGGACGGCUAACUACGUG
rnacentral:rRNA from 1 species